UACGUAGGGUCCGAGCGUUGUCCGGAAUUACUGGGCGUAAAGAGCUCGUAGGUGGUUUGUCGCGUUGUUCGUGAAAACUCACAGCUCAACUGUGGGCGUGCGGGCGAUACGGGCAGACUAGAGUACUGCAGGGGAGACUGGAAUUCCUGGUGUAGCGGUGGAAUGCGCAGAUAUCAGGAGGAACACCGGUGGCGAAGGCGGUUCUCUGGGCCUUACCUGACGCUGAGGAGCGAAAGCGUGGGGAGCAAACAGG
rnacentral:rRNA from 1 species